AUUACAUUAGGCUACCCAAUAACGAUCAUUACUACAUGAUCAUUGAGGCGAUCGGUGCAAUGCACUACACAGAGGACAAAAAGCGGAUGCAUUGGAUUUUCCUAUCGUGGUGACAGCUACUUAUCAUCGUGCUUAAACCUUUUCUCCCUGUGCACCACAUACUCGACGUCUGUGGUUUUGGGAACCCGUCGAACGAGUCACGUGUUCCAUCGGUUCCUCGAGAAAUACCAAGAUCUCCGCGAAGCCCUUUUCUGGCCAACCGAACUCAUGAAUAUUGCGGACCCAAAUGGCUGGCGCAAGCGCAAAAUAAUGCCAACUAUGCUGGGGCUGGCCGCUCCGAGAUCGAUUCCCCGGGGGGACAAGCUGGACAACUUUGUCCCGACGUCGGAGGGACUGUCGGGAGCGCAAGUCAAGGCGGUCGGCCAGACGUGGAGCAUACAAAUGAGCUGGACAUGGGGAGCAGAUGCCGGAGAGGAGGCGGCAUGGCGGAGGGGCUCCCCACUCCCCCAGCCGAAAUGAAAAGGAAACUCAGAGGGGCCGACGCAGACGCUCUGCCCAAUCCGAAGACGGAUAAUUGCACGGCCAUUAACGCUGUCAUUAUCGACAGGGACGGAGUCGCAAGUCCACUGGCCCAGUCCGGUGCAAGUCAGUGGGUUCUCCACAUGGAAAAUGGAGCCUGAUCGACGUCUUGUGUGCUAAUAAUGGCAUUAGACCUUGAUCUUUGGCCAUUGGUUUAGGUUUUUAUUUUUAGCAAGAUAAUAGAUUAUUGCCCUCAGGUGUUAUCGCUCUUAAAAGUAUUGUAGAAUAAUCAUAGAGGUUGUAUUUUUUACUUUUAAUUUUUUACUGUAAUGCAGCGAAUUUUAAAAUAUGCUUUUAUAUAUUAUAUCCUACAUUUUCGACUGAUUCGUUAAUUAAAAAGAUCCUUUAAUAAUAAAAAAAUUAUAUUUUUUGGUUAAAAAAAAUA